rnacentral:rRNA from 1 species
GAUCCUGGCUCAGGAUGAACGCUAGCGACAGGCUUAACACAUGCAAGUCGAGGGGCAGCACGAUGUAGCAAUACAUUGGUGGCGACCGGCGCACGGGUGAGUAACGCGUAUGCAACCUACCUAUCAGAGGGGAAUAACCCGGCGAAAGUCGGACUAAUACCGCAUAAAACAGGGGUUCCACAUGGAAAUAUUUGUUAAAGAUUUAUCGCUGAUAGAUGGGCAUGCGUUCCAUUAGAUAGG